rnacentral:rRNA from 1 species
GAUGAACGCUAGCUACAGGCUUAACACAUGCAAGUCGAGGGGAAACGACAUCGAAAGCUUGCUUUUGAUGGGCGUCGACCGGCGCACGGGUGAGUAACGCGUAUCCAACCUGCCCAUCACUUGGGGAUAACCUUGCGAAAGUAAGACUAAUACCCAAUGAUAUCUCUAGAAGGCAUCUGAAAGAGAUUAAAGAUUUAUCGGUGAUGGAUGGGGAUGCGUCUGAUUAGCUUGUUGGCGGGGUAACGGCCCACCAAGGCAACGAUCAGUAGGGGUUCUGAGAGGAAGGUCCCCCACAUUGGAACUGAGACACGGUCCAAACUCCUACGGGAGGCAGCAGUGAGGAAUAUUGGGCAAUGGGUGAGAGCCUGAACCAGCCAAGUAGCGUGCAGGAAGACGGCCCUAUGGGUUGUAAACUGCUUUUAUAAGGGAAUAAAGUGAGAGUCGUGACUCUUUUUGUAUGUACCUUAUGAAUAAGGACCGGCUAAUUCCGUG